rnacentral:rRNA from 1 species
UACGGGGGGGGCAAGCGUUGUUCGGAAUUACUGGGCGUAAAGGGUUCGUAGGUGGCCAACUAAGUCAGACGUGAAAUCCCUCGGCUUAACCGGGGAACUGCAUCUGAUACUGGAUGGCUUGAGUUCGGGAGAGGGAUGCGGAAUUCCAGGUGUAGCGGUGAAAUGCGUAGAUAUCUGGAGGAACACCGGUGGCGAAGGCGGGUCUCUGGGCCGAUACUGACGCUGAGGAGCGAAAGCGUGGGGAGCGAACAGGAUAGAAACCCUUGG